rnacentral:rRNA from 1 species
GACGAACGCUGGCGGCGUGCCUAACACAUGCAAGUCGAGCGAAGGAUAUAUGAGGAAAUCUUCGGAUGGAAUCAUAUAAGCUUAGCGGCGGACGGGUGGGUAACGCGUGAGCAACCUGCCUCAAACAGGGGGAUAACGCAUCGAAAGAUGUGCUAAUACCGCGUAAGACCACAGCACCGCAUGGUGCAGAGGUCAAAGGAGCAAUCCGGUUUGAGAUGGGCUCGCGUCCGAUUAGCUAGUUGGUGAGAUAACAGCCCACCAAGGCGACGAUCGGUAGCCGGACUGAGAGGUUGAACGGCCACAUUGGGACUGAGACACGGCCCAG